GAGUUUGAUCCUGGCUCAGAACGAACGCUGGCGGCGUGCUUAACACAUGCAAGUCAGGGAGAAAGUCUCUUCGGGGAUGAUUAAACCGGCGCACGGGUGAGUAACACGUGAGUGACCUGCCUUUUAGACUGGAACAACUUACCGAAAGGUGAGCUAAUGCCGGAUGAGUUAUAUAAGUGCAUGUUUAUAUAGGAAAAGUUGGGGAGACCUGACGCUGAAAGAUGGACUCGCGUCCCAUUAGCUAGUUGGUAGGGUAAUGGCCUACCAAGGCGACGAUGGGUAGCCGGCCUGAGAGGGUGGCCGGCCACACUGGGACUGAGACACGGCCCAGACUCCUACGGGAGGCAGCAGUGGGGAAUUUUGCGCAAUGCUCGUAAGAGUGACGCAGCGACGCCGCGUGAAUGACGAAGGCCUUCGGGUCGUAAAGUUCUUUCGACAGGGAAGAAAAUGCCUAUAAGUAACUGUGUAUGUAUUGACGGUACCUGUAUAAGCAGCCCCGGCUAACUCCGUGCCAGCAGCCGCGGUAAUACGGAGGGGGCGAGCGUUGUUCGGAGUGACUGGGCGUAAAGAGCACGUAGGCGGUGUUGUAAGUCAUUAGUCAAAGACUAGAGCUCAACUUUAGUAAGGCUAGUGAUACUAUAAUACUAGAGUAUCAGAGAGGAUUGCAGAAUUCCUGGUGUAGCGGUGAAAUGCGUAGAUAUCAGGAGGAAUACCGUUAGCGAAGGCGGCAAUCUGGCUGGAAACUGA
rnacentral:rRNA from 1 species